AAUUUUGGACCCCAAUAUUCUUAAUUCCAAAUUUAAUUGGGUUUUUAUUUCGGAUGGUCCCCACAUGUCACCUGUGGCAAUUUCACAACUUGAAUGUCACCACAGGUUAAUCCUUCAAUGUUUUUAAUCCAUUUUUAUCACCAAGAGGAAUAAAAUUAACCAUCCAUAGAGACCAUAGAUUAAAGCAAAAAUCAAGAAUCUGUGUUGUAAGAGCAUCAACAGUUGAUAGCUCAUCCAAUUUUGUUGAAUGUAUGGAGAAAGCCUGGUUAAUUUCUAAGAUUUGCGGGCUUGGAAGAAUAAACGUUAAGUGACCAACGAAACCGAAAGGUGCAAAUAGACGAGACAAGGAUCUUCCACCGUAGGCUGCCUUCAGGUACCACUUACGUUUGGUGGCUCCACUUCUUCCUGGAGCAUUGCCGAGCCUAAGUCUAUAUAUAUAUGAAUUGCGUUAAGGGUAUGUCGGGGGGCCCUGUCCUAACUUGUAUAUUUCAGUCAUGUUCAUAGAGGCUUUGCAGAUAAUUUCUGUGUAUAGAUUAGUUAUGCAAGUUAUAAGUUGGUUCGAUCGGUUCCCAUAGGGUGUCGGGUGUCAGUCACGCCUUAUCAAGGGUGGGUUGUGACAGGUGGCCAAUGGGUAAUUUGCGAAGGUUGAAAAUUGCAAUUCGCGGGGGGGUUUAGCCUCCGCUAAUUGCUUGAAGAGGCUAAACCCCCCGCAAAUUGCAACUUUCAACCUUCAUAAAUUACUCAUUUUUUUAUGUAGUAUCAUCUCUACGUUAGUGAAAAUUGCAAACAAUUAUUGAUUCAAUUCAAUGCGUCGACAGAUUUUCUGUUUUCGGUAGUUGGAGGGUCCAAUGUUGCCCUUUAAAUAGAUUCAAAAUAGUACUAACUCCCCAUUUUUAGUGGAUGAAGCAAGUCCAUGUCUUUAUAUUAGCAUAGUACCUCAAUGUAUGCUGCUGUUCAAUUAUGUAAGGACACAAAAGGGGAAAGCAAUGGGCCGGG